CCUCUGUUGGCAACGCAUUAAAGCUUUACUAUGUUGUCAUUUUGAAAAAGAGGUUAUUGUUUGUAAUCAGUGAGAAAACAUUCUCGAAUGGCGUUAAUGUUUGAUUUACGCAUUCAUAACUGUAAUUAUUAGAUUAAAAAUGAUUUUGUCAACAAAUUAUUGUACAAGUGUACAUCCUUUCUCCAUCAUUGAAUUUACGUCGAUUUCAUUUAUGAUACGCAUAAAAGGUUAUAUAACGCCUUUCAAUAAAAAAAAGGAGUUGCGUCUGGGUUGAGUUAAGAUUCAAAGUUUUUUCAAUAAGUUAGGAAUACUAACUUUUACAUCUUCAAGUUUCUGAAAAACGAGACUAGUAGAGUUUGCUGAAGUGUAUUCAAAUAAAACAAUUUUAUAAUGGAGUAAGAAUAAAUAUCAUUGAAGACUUUGCUAAAAGAAAUAUAUUAGUUUCUAAAAAUACAUUAAUCUCUUAUCGAAAUUGUAAAAGCUAAAAUUGUAAAAGUGGAGAAUAUUUCACAUUGUAUAACUAUAGAUAAUGAAAAAAAUGAUAAUUGAAAGAAUGAAAACACAACUUCGACAGAGAAAGGAGGUACUAUCUCAGACACCAUUUUUUGAUGGUAAGACUAUCAAGGAUUGUUUCCUAGACAGUACCAUUGAUCGACUAUUGGAAUGUUAUGUUCAAGCUAUAAAAUAUAAUGAAUAUAGCUUAGAUGUUAUAAAAAAAGCUAUAUGUACAAUCUUCUUCCAUAUAGUAUCAACGGAUAACAAGCUGCUUCAAAAUUUUUCUUUAAGCAAUUGGUGUAAAUAUAAAAUAGUUGGAGCAGAAGUUUAUCUACAAGACUUCUUUACCUGAGCUUGUUACAUUGAUUUUAAGACUACUUUACAGAAAUUUGGCAAAUUCAAAUGUAAUGAAGAAAUGUCUCGCAAAGAAACACAAUGUAAAUAAAUUAUUCAAUAACACUGUGUGAAUAAGUGUAUCAAAAAAUGUAUUUAUGGAGUCCUAUAUAUUGAAACUUGAUGUAUAUGAUGUCAUUAUAUUUAUUGAUGGUAAUACAGGCAGAUUAAAGGAGCUAAGAGGUAAAACAGCCAUACUGGAAGAACUGAACAAGCAGGAAAUUAAUAAAGUACAGCUACAAGCUAAAAUAUUGUCUAAAAUGAUAAGGUUUUUAGAAAGAUGAAAGAGAAUUUAUUUGGAUAAUACAGAAGAAGAUGAACAUUACAGUGGUGAAUGAUUUUAACUGCUGUUUUUACUAAAACAUUGAUUUGGAGAAAUAGAAACAACGGAAGUGUAUUAAAAAAAAGUGAAUCAAAAGUGAUUUUUGAGGAUGUCAACAAUGUUACACUCAUCAAGAAGUUUUAGUAUGGCGAAAGUAUAUUUAUAAUCAAAUAAACAGGAUUUAUAGAAGAAUUAUUGACCGAGAUAUUGUUGAGGACAAGUCCUGCUAUCAACCGAAUUUAUCUUUUGAUACGAUUAAAUAAAGAGAAGAAUGCUUCAACGUAAUAAGCUCAUUGGAAAUUCAGUUACUUGUUUACUUAUAAUCCGAUUAUUAUUUCUGUAUUCUUAUUUCAUCCUGAUUCAACUUACAGAUUCUUUAUAUUCUUAUAAUAUAUAUUUCUUUAGUAGACAGGUAAAAAAAUAUAUGUCAAAUUUACUAUCAUUAGUUUUGUAGAAAAGGAUUUAUAAUAUUUGAAGUGUGAUGUUAAAUCAGAUGUUAGAUUUUGGAUCAUGAAAAUUCAUAACAUAUAUCUUGGUUUAUUGAACUUAAAAAAUAUAAGUCACAUUCGUCUUAAAACAUUUUUCUUUUUUUUUUUCUAAAUACGACAUUAUUUUUACCUAAAUUUCCAGGUUUUUUGAUCAAGAAUGAACAUCCGAUAUAACCAAAUUUUGUGUUUAUGUUACUGUACCCAAUGAUUUAAAUUGAAAUAACUAAAUAAAUGUAAUAUCAAGAAAGGUAAUUUCUUUUGAACAUAUUAUUUAACGUGAAAUCGUAAGGGACUAAUACGAGCAAUGAUUAAUUUUAUAAAUACUUGUGUAUCCUUGUCUCAUUGUUCGUGUCCUUCUGUAUAUUCAUAUAGAGAGUAGUUGUUCCGUAUAAAAAAAGUUUUUAAAAUAUUGAAAGACUAUAGAAAGCUUCUUACGAAACGAACACCUGUUCGAAAUCAAAUUUAAUCGUUCGCGGUAACAAGAGAUACAUUAUUUCAAGGCUAUUAACGUUUAGUUAUAUAUUCAAUUAAGUUGGAACGUCGUACGAGUUUGCAAUGUGCCAGACGCUUCGAAGGAUACAGAAGGAAGAUGAUACUGCACAAGAACGUAUCUGCGAUUAAAAUAUACCGUCGUGCGUUAUUAACUGCUGAUCUAGUUCGAAAUAAUUUUGUUUUUAACAAAAAAAAAAUCUUUUCCGUUUGAUUUCCGAAGAAAAACAAGAAACCUAUGCCAACGUGGAGAGGAUAUGUGAUCAGCACACGUUCAAAAUACUAAAUGGAAAUAAGUUCGAAACAAAGUAUUAUCAUUUAUGGGGGACGAAAUCGACCAGAAAUACGUCUUCGACUAAGUUGAUUGAAACGAUUCAUUGGAAGAUUACAAGCCUCAAGAAAGAAAAAGAUAACAAAGCAAUAAUUACGUAAUUCCAACGGAUUGUAUAGUUAAAAUUGAUGAUGAAAAGUUAUAGAUUAAGAUUCGACAAUGUGGGUAAAACGUAUUAAAAAUAAUGGGUGGAUAAAAUGAUGCAACAAACGAUUCAUAGUUCGUGUGUUAGAACAGAGAAGAUUCAAUAAUAUUGUCAACAAGUAAAAAACACGAAGCUUCUAGCGAUAUACUUUGUCUGUUGUAAGUCAAUUUCGAAAUUUUAAUUUAAUAAUGUUCCGGUUUAUUUAUGCAGUAUCAAAUUAUUCGAACGGAAGCAUCGAAUACACAAAAAGUAAAAUUAACAAGACAUGUGUUCCAAAUGAGAAAGAGGAAACGUUACGAUAACGAAUAAAACGUUGAUUUUUACGAGAAAUUCUCAAUUUCAAAUUCAUACUCUCACAUCGCAAAGAUUCGUUUGCUUGUGGGAAAAAUUCUCGGAUCAAAAUUCAAAACGAUAUUCGAAAUGCUUACGGACAUUGAACAGGUAUUAAAAAAAAAUAUGUAUCCAUUAUAAUAGAUGAAAGUGAAAUUUUAUUCGAUAUAAUAAUUAAUAUUAUCCUUUUCGAAAUAUUUUUGUGGUUGUCAAUAUUACUUCAUCUUGGACAGAACAAUUUUUCGUCAUGGUUCAAAACAGAAAGUAAAUUGCAUAGGUCACUCUUUUUUAACACAACACAUUAUGCUAUUUAGAAAAAUGUUUUAAACAAAACGAAUACCAUCGAUUUUUAUGUCUACUUGCAAGUGACAACUGAGGAUCAUUUGGACCCAAAAGGAAGAAGAGGGAGAGCGAAUUCAAAGAUCUAUGGAUCAAUAUAUUUAAAAAAUUUAUCAAAAGCGUCGUUGUCACAUAAACGAAGUCUGGAAAAUUCUUGAUGUAGUUUUAGUAAGAUUUUGUUGUCUUUUUAAAUGACAUUUUAAAGUCAGAAAAGAAUUUUACUUUUAUCCGAUUGAUUCUUGGAAGAAAAUAUACUUAUCUGGUUCUAUGCACUAGAAUAUUUUAAUAGUAUAAGUGUAUACUAUUAUGUAUUAUCAAACUCAAAAUAAACCUUUCUCGGGCUCAAUCGCAUACAAAGAACGUUUUUUGUAAGUAGAUGUCCAGUUUCGUUGAAUUUGUUUAGAAUUGUUCAUACUUACUUGUAAAUUUCACAUGAAACGUGAAAUUUUAUUACCGAUGAAGUUAUUAUAAAAAAUUGCGGUUAUCAAAUUUUGUUCAAUUUAAGAGUAAAAUUUAAAAAGUUUACUCCCAAAAGACUUUUU